CUUUAAACCCCCCCAUUUUAUUACUCCCCCCCCCCCCAAAUCCCCCCAUGGCCCUUUAAAUCCCCCCCCAAAUUCUGCACUGUCCCUUUAAAUGCCCCCCUCCCAUAUAUCAUCAUUGGGGGGGGGUCAUUAUUAAGGUAGGUCCUCCAACCCCCCCAUUUUGGGCCCCCCCCCCCCCAAAUCCCCCCAUAUCCCUUUAAACCCCCCCCAUUUUAUUACUCCCCCCCCAAAAUAACUCCGCACUGCCCCUUUAAAUGCCCCCCCCAUAUAUCAGACAAUGGGGGAGGGCCGUUAUUACUGUCGGUCCUCCAACCGCCCCCAUAGGUCAGAUAUUGGGGUGUGGGGGGGUCGUUAUUAUUACAGACCCCCCCCCCCAAUAAUAACGGCCCUUCCGUGACCGCCCCCCCACCGCCCCCCCCCCAAAAAAAACACCAAAACGACAAAAAACGACAAAAAAAAACCCAAAACGGCGUCGGGGAAACGCAGUGGGAAAUAAAAGAGCCGCCGCUUCGCUGCGGGGUGCAGUGCCG
ensembl:lncRNA